CGCAGCGCGCGUCUGUGCAAUUAUACCUGGAAUACUUACCGAAGAAGCGUGUGCGUCGAAGUUCGCUAUUCAUGUUUCAUCUCAUAUUUUGAUUAAUCGUCAGCGGUAGACGAAAUGCCAGCUUUUUGACGACUUCUCAAGAUAUCACAUAUCUGCGGGAUCAAAGAUUAUCAAAAAGAUGUUAAGUAUCUCUAGACAGAUGCAUUAUAAAUGAUGAUCACAGUCUAUGCUCUAUAACGUAUGCGAUAGCACAUCUAAUCCGUUUUUAGAUCGAAGCGAUCUGUUUUUUACGGAGAGCCGUGUUGAUGUUGUAAAAAAAGAAGGAAACAAAAUGUAACUUGUCAGACGCCCUGUCACCGGAGGAUAUGCUUUUGAAACGGCAGUCGUGAUAUAUAUUGUCAUUUACAGAUUUAACCCUUGAUGAGUACAAACGUGUCCUCUUUUAUUUGUUUCGCGGGUUAUUGAUUCCGACUAUCCAGUUUUUUUAUAUUGUCUUAUGCUUGGACAUUUUUACUGCUUUUGGUGAUUAAAUGGAUAUUCGUAAAGGUUCAUGGACUGUCACCUUAUUGUCAAGAGCUAUCACGCGUCUUGUAUUUUCUCGCUGAGUUGAAUAUCUACAGCUUGUGGAAAAACUACUGAAACUAUUUCCGAGUUCCAGGAGAUGUGCUUUUCCUGAUGGAUAAAGACAAAUAAGGAUUACUCCCAUUUAAGUUGAGAUCGUUGGAUAUACCAGCCUACAUUUGACAGUGUCGCCUGAUUUUACAGACAUUGGAGGCAAGCUUCGAGAAGCGUCGGAAUACUGUUGUGGACCUGGAAAGUGCUGGAGAGUUCAUCCAAAGGAGUUAGGAGGGACACACAACUUUAAGGUAGAGAUGCCGUUCCCCAAAAUAAUUUCAUUAAGCAUUCUGAAUUGGCUGAAGCCAAUUGAGUGAGACAUAAAAGGGGUUGUGGUCGAGGAAAUGAAUUGAUAAACGGCAAGUGGCUUUCGGUAAUUUUUUGCGGCCAGCAAGCACGCUUUCACCGUCUUAUUUCAAAUCAAUUGCAAUACCUUCGCGCAUUGUUACAAUAGAGCACUAUAUCUUGAAAUAGGAAGAGAAAAAGAGGUCCAUAGAGAGAAAGAGAGAGAUAGAGAGAGGAUGAGGGACGAAUUGAGAGAUAGAUUAAAAAAAAAAAAAAGGAAGCAUGUGCACAUCAACGCAGAUAGAGGAAAAAAAGAUUGGAGCUGCGGAAAAGAGAUAGAGAUAGAGAUAGGUCGUAGGUAGAGAAAGCAAGCAAAACCAAAAAAGGCUAUCAUUUUUAUUGAUGUAAUUUUAAGAUUAAAGCGAUGAUGAGGCAAAGAAAUAAAAGAGAUGUAAAUAUGAGAUAAUAGAAGAAAGAGUUUUUGGAUGUUUAUCAUAUGAAUUCUUUGAGCAAUGCAUGAAGCGUGAAGAAUACCAGAAUAAAUGACCGGAGGUUAAGAAUUGGACCAUGCAGCAAAAAAAAAAA